UGUGGUAUAGGGCGGUGAAAUAGGAAAGUUUAGAAUAUCAACUAGCGGAAGAAUGAGUGCGGAAAAGAAGAAGAGUACAUGACUUACGGAUACCAAAUUAAUUUGAACAUAGAAAUACUACACUAAAAAUCCUUAACAAGCAUGGGAUGGUUAUUUAUCUUUCAGUGAUUUUGAUUUAUGACUGAAGGUAGAGUCCUUGUUGCCCAUUGUUUGGACAUUAUCUAUGGAGCAUUGUUUAUUUAAUUUAGAUGCUAGAGACAAGCAAGUAACAUAUUUUGCUAACUAUUUCUAUGAGGGAAGAGUUGUGGUGUGGUGAGAGAGGAUUAGAACCGAAUGGUGUCGCCACUUUGAUUGUAAACUUCGUUAUAGAAUUUUAUUGAUUAUGAUAGAAGUUAUUGAGCUUAAUUCAUUCUUAGCAAAGAAGGUCAUAGCUUAAUCAACCAGUCGCAUGAAUCGCAUUGCAUUUUACAUCGUACUGUAGGAAGGCCCUCCGUUAUACUUCUUUCAGCCACUAACUAUUUUUUACUUUUGCAGUCCUUACCAUAUGGAAAAUAUGAAGAUUCUAUACAAUUAUUUGGCUUCUAUGUGCAAUAUUUGCCAAUGGUAUUGGAGUACAUCGAAGAUAAGAGAAAAAGUAUCUAGGUGAAGUUGAAAGAACAUUCAAAGCUAUGCUGCUGGGAGAUUCACCAAAGCUACAUUUCUAUAGAGAAAUCAAAAGGCAGGAGGCAGAAACUUAAAGAUCUCAUACAAAAAUAUAUUGUAAGUAUCAUAGUUGUUAUAUUGUCUCAUGCUCGUCAUUUUGUAAUUAUGUAUGUGUCGUCAUACAUUCUACAUCUGUAACAUCUUUCUUACAAUAAAUUUACUGAUGAGUUUUUCUUGUCAACAAGAAGUGUCAGUGUGUGACCAGCCUAGCUCCUUGCAAAAUCUGGAGACUGGUGAUUUAACUUUGUCUAUUGAUUUGAUUAUAUGUAAGGCCUAAGGGGUGGAUCAAAGCUCCAUGUUUUCUAGCUGGAUUUCCAAAUUUCUCUAUUUAGAGUCCUAUGACCUUUUAUAGGGUAUUGAACUUGCCUCUCGAAUCUAGAGUUGCAUUUAGCCCAUGAUAGGUGGGGCUUUGUCCUGUACCUCCCCCAAAACAUUCUAUAGGGAACUCUGGUUCUCGGAGAUUUGUGUCUGGCGGUUCCAAUUCUCCGCAGAUUGCAUCAUCUAGAGAGCAAGUGCUUGGCAUAUUGUUUCAACUAGGACGUCACCAAUUGGGUCAAGGCCUUCUUCGCCAAGGUCUCAUUGUGAAACUGAAAGGUAUUGUAGCGCUGUUGAACAGAACCCUUGCUUUGGCCCUACUAUGACAAUGUUGUAAGUUAUAUUUGGCCAUUUUGUAAAUUUUACUAUUUUUCAGGUAAACACUAUGUAAGCCUGACUUUGCUGAGCUGCUUGAACAUAUGUGAAGUGUGACGGGUCUGUCUAGCUCAUUUCCAGUAUGUUCAGAAAAUGCAGUUCUGUCAAUUAGUUGUGUUGCAUCUGUUUCAGGAAAGGGAACACCAGUUUGAGAUUGACAUCAAAUGGGCAAACGGAUUAGAAGUGAAAUGAAUGAUGGAAGAUGGGAACUGCCUCUUUCGUGCUCUUGCAGAUCAAGUAUAUGGGGACUGAAGGUCAUUGAUUUGGUCAAUGGCAUAUGGGGGAAGUCGCUCCAAGGCCCUGCAAUCGGCAGUUUGUUGUGUUUGGGAGACUGUUAGCUUGCCAAAGGAAUCCCAAAAUGCUUUCCCAAUUGAAGGCCAGGGAACUGUUUAGAGAGUGAAGUUACAGCAGUUUGUUGUGUUUUAAAUUGUUGCCUUCAUCCCAGAAUGCUUUCUCAAUUGAAGGCCAAACAGAGUGUGGAGUUAUAGGAGAGAGAGAGAGAGAGAGAGAGAGAGAGAGAGAGAGAGAGAGAGAGAGAGAGAGAGAAUUAUGUAGUAGACUAGUAUCCACAUUUAAAGCCUUUCAAAAAAAAAAAAAAAGGGAUCCACAUUUAAAAGCAGUAAUAGGUGAAUAUAUUUCCUAAGUCGGCUUGUAGGCGUAAAUUUUUUGGGUUUAUGUUGGCAUCAUAUUCUAUGAAAAUAGAAAUGUACAUCCCAACUCCGUUUUUCCAGGCCUGUAAACUAUCAGAAAUUCAUAAUAACAACCAUCAAACAGUGUACCAAAAUGAUUUUUUGGCACGAUUGUUCUUAUUGAGUAUUAAACAAUUGAACUGUUUCAAUGUAGUAUCAAAGUAUGUAGAGCAGGAGUCACUAAAAGGGCCCAAGAGACAGUUUAGUUCUCCUCCAUACUUUAAUUGAUCACACCCAUUACUAAAAUU